rnacentral:snRNA from 1 species
UGAUGUGCUUGUGAUCUGGCUGUGAUGUCUGUCUCCCCACUGAUCACCAGCAUUGACCUGGCUGACCUGGUCUCCUUCCUCCCUCAGCACUCCAUGCAUCCCUCCCAGUCCAGGAGGACCAUUCUGCAGUCAAGGGUGUAGGAGUGGCUGUGCUCCCCUACAAAUCAGGACUUCCCAACAAGGUCUGCUCAUAGAGUGUAAAGUAGUCAAGCUUCCAAAACUCCAGACACAUCUGAAUGAGGCAUCACAUGUGGCAUCUGCCUUUCUUU